rnacentral:rRNA from 1 species
AUACGGAGGGUGCGAGCGUUGCUCGGAAUUACUGGGCGUAAAGCGUACGCAGGCUGUCUUCCAAGUCGGGUGUGAAAUCCCGGGGCUCAACCCCGGAACUGCGCCCGAGACUGUGAGACUUGAAUGCGGGAGAGGAUAGCGGAAUUCCUGGUGUAGAGGUGAAAUUCGUAGAUAUCAGGAGGAACACCUGUGGCGAAAGCGGCUAUCUGGCCCGACAUUGACGCUCAUGUACGAAAGCGCGGGGAGCAAACAGGAUUAGAUACCCUGGUAGUCCGCGCCGUAAACGAUGAGUGCUAGCUGCUGGGAAUGUUUACCGUUUCAGUGGCGAAGCUAACGCAUUAAGCACUCCGCCUGGGAAGUACGGCCGCAAGGCUAAA